GACAGAGGAUGCAAGCGUUAUCCGGAAUGAUUGGGCGUAAAGCGUCUGUAGGUGGCUUUUCAAGUCCGCCGUCAAAUCCCAGGGCUCAACCCUGGACAGGCGGUGGAAACUACCAAGCUGGAGUACGGUAGGGGCAGAGGGAAUUCCCGGUGUAGCGGUGAAAUGCGUAGAGAUCGGGAAGAACAUCGGUGGCGAAAGCGCUCUACUGGACCGCAACUGACACUCAGGGACGAAAGCUAGGGGAGCGAAUGGG
rnacentral:rRNA from 1 species